rnacentral:lncRNA from 1 species
GUUGGAAACAACCCUCAAUGCAACAGUGUUGGAAGGUGGAGACUUUGGGGAGGAGUUUAGGUCAUAAAGGCUUUGCCCUCAUGAAUGGAUUAAUGCCACUACAAAAAGGGUUUGCAGGAGUAGGCCCACUCUCUCUUGUUCUUCUGCCUUCUGACAGGUUCAUUGCUAAGGAAUGGAUUGAAUCAGUACCUAAACCAGCUGACAGGGAUGAAUAAAGAAUGCAUCUUUUGCCAAGUACUGGGUAGAAUUUCCUUGGAGAGACUACAGAAGUGUGAGCAAUUUGGCUCUGUUCAUUACAAACAGUGUCUAUGGCAGACAUAUGAAGACCACAACUCCCUCCUUGAUGGAACAGGACCCUCGCCCCAGAGUGAGAAAACUGACGCUCAGGCAUCGAUUAGGCAGGGAUGACUAUAAUGUGUUCUCUGCAGUCAGGUGAAGGACUGGUACGCAAUACUAAGUAGAACUGGGAGUAGAGUAUAACCAUCAAUAGCUAUUGUUUGCUACGCUACUUGCUUUUUAUAAAACAUUACCAGUCCUGAGAAGUAUUAGCUGGAGAGUGUGAAGAAAGAACAUUUCAUCAUCUUGCCCAAAUUCACAAAACAAGUGGUUUCACAGAGGAAAGAUUUAGGAUGUGAUUAGAGGACUGAAACAGCCAUGGGCCAUCUCUCCAGAGCGCAGCAGACUUCUAACACAAGGAGGAACUACCACCCUAGCCUGACUUUUGGUUGUCUCCAACUAGUUGAGGAUAUGCUUUCGAGAGCACAUCAACUUUGGUGCAAUGUUGGGGGUGGAAGGGGAGGUUUUGUAUCUGUUUUACAAUUUAGACACACACACACAAGAUUUGAGUUAGAGCACAGAGUAUGCUUAAAACAUGGCAUAGAGUCAUAAGAUGAAACAAAGCCUGCCUCCACUUGUUACUGCUUCCUUUUUGGUGUGUAUGAUCUAUUUCUUCCUAUUUUGUGGAAGCUUGUCAGUCCUCAAACUGGAAGGCUCAAAUACAAUAUUUCAAACUGGCACCAGAUUCAUGUAACCCUAUAGGGCAUGCCAGAAUUCUGGGCAAUCUUUUAAGGAUACAUAGUCCACAGAAUGAAUAAAACCAGCAUCUAUUGCCAGGGCAAAAUUUAGUAUGGGUUUUAGGGGUCAUUGGCUAAAAACAAAAUGCCAAUAUGCUGGCUGAAUCAACUGGGUUUUAUUCAUUUUACAUUCCCAGCAUUAAGCAUAGCUAUUACUAGGCAUUGGGUCAGUUUCAUGGCUGAAGCCUGGUAUUAUCUGGCAUUUCUUUUACUUGAGAAAAGGGAAACAUCUUGAGGACUUGAUUUAAUGUGAAAGAAAUGUAAUUUAAAGGAACUAAAAGGAGAAUGAUUAUCAUUGUUGUUUGCUAACACAUAAAGUAUAGUGAGUUACAUACCAGAAAUUUACUGGUAAAACCAUUUUGUAGGUUAAAAAAAUCAAGUGUAUGUAAGUCACAAUCUCAAAUAUUACAUUCUCACUAACAUCUGUAUAAAAAGAUCUGUCCCCAUAAGAAAAUAAAUUCUUGAACCACAGGGAAACCAAUUUAUCAUUCUGGCUCAUUCUUUUUCCCCUUACCUAAUUUGCUCCCAUUUCUGAACCUCAUUUUCUCUAGUUUGCUCCAAAGCUAUUCUGCUUUUAAUAUCUCACAAGACCUGGAUUGUUUCCUGUGUGCACAACAGGCUUUUAAAAUACAUGGGCUUAACCUGCUACCCAGGUGCACCCUUUUCUCAACAUUUCUCCAUCUCGCA